GACGAACGCUGGCGGCGUGCCUAAUACAUGCAAGUAGAACGCACAGUUUAUACCGUAGCUUGCUACACCAUAGACUGUGAGUUGCGAACGGGUGAGUAACGCGUAGGUAACCUGCCUGGUAGCGGGGGAUAACUAUUGGAAACGAUAGCUAAUACCGCAUAAUAUUAAUUAUUGCAUGAUAAUUAAUUGAAAGGUGCAAUUGCACCACUACCAGAUGGACCUGCGUUGUAUUAGCUAGUAGGUGAGGUAACGGCUCACCUAGGCGACGAUACAUAGCCGACCUGAGAGGGUGAUCGGCCACACUGGGACUGAGACACGGCCCAGACCCCUACGGGAGGCAGCAGUAGGGAAUCUUCGGCAAUGGACGAAAGUCUGACCGAGCAACGCCGCGUGAGUGAAGAAGGUUUUCGGAUCGUAAAGCUCUGUUGUAAGAGAAGAACGGGUGUGAGAGUGGAAAGUUCACACUGUGACGGUAGCUUACCAGAAAGGGACGGCUAACUACGUG
rnacentral:rRNA from 1 species